GAAUCAGUAUAGAUUAUCUGGUCUAGUAUUGAACUACGGGGCCCAAAGGACGCAUUUACCUUUGACAGAUUUCUGUUCAGAUACAUAUGGUGACGACAAUAUACACUAUAGGGAUAUGUCUGUAGAAUGUAAAGAUUGGAAAUAUGUUUAUUCUAGAGUUUUCUGCAAAUAUGAAGGUGAUUGUGGGGAGAAUGCUGAAUGUAUCUCACAAGGGCCAAUAGGUAUCUGUUACUGCAAGCCAUACCAUAUCAGGAUCAAUGGUUAUUGCUACAGGGCUGAUGUUCCUGUUGGCGGUAAAUGUAUAGUUAAUAUUCAGUGUAGAGACACAACCUACUCCGGCGUUUGCAAGAAUCAUAUUUGUAGAUGUAGAGUGGGAUACGUUGCUCUAGGAAACAGUUGUUAUGCAGAAGCAAUAGUGGAUAAUAUGUGUUUUUCGUGGCAUAAUACGUGCAAAGACUUAACAAGAGAGUGUAGUAUUUUAAGCAAUCAAGACGUUGGGAUUUGUGUCUGCAAAUCAGAAUAUCUAGGAUUUUGAGAAUACUGUUUAGAAGGAAACCUUAAAAUCAAUCAGACCUGUGAGCGAAAUGAACAGUGUACUGCUGCACAAAACUUAGAAUGUCAAUAUGGAACAUGUAUGUGUCGAGAUGGGCACAUACUUGUUAAUGAGACUGAUUGUAAACCAGUGGAAAUAAAUAAAAAGGCGGUUGAAAAAAAGUUUUUAAAUCAAGAACAAGGUAAGUACUUUCACUUCAUUAAUAGUUAAGCAUCAUAAUUUGAAUAUUUUUAUGGUUUAUAC